rnacentral:lncRNA from 1 species
UCUGAUCAACUUUCUUUUAGAAGCAAGGCCCAAUCCUCUUACAUUCCAACAUAGAAGUGACAUUGGAUGAUAUCAGCAAACCACAAUGAGGGGAGGAGAAGAAGGUAGCUAGAAACAAAAGUUAAACCUAAGUCAAAGCCCACUUGACUGCAGCAAAGUAAGAAGCCAACAAAAUGCCUAACAGUGAACUAACUAGCAAAACCAUGGCACUAAAUAGCUAGCUAGAGUGAUGUAGGCUGUAUAAGAAAGCAGCUAAUGCAAAUACUGUAGCAAAAACCAAGAUUCCCAACCAAUCCCACUUGGUUAACCCGACUCUGCAUCGUCAAUGAUCUUGCAACAAAGCUGCUCCAAGGAUUUGAGCUUAGAGGCAGUACCAUCCAAGUUUUUGUUAAGAACGUCGGCGCCAUAUUUAUGAGUGAGCUUAAGCAAAUCUCUGGUUGGCAAAAAGAGACCCUCCAUGCCAAGAGCUCGAACCUUCUUGGUGCGAAGUCUGGGACUUUGUUUCACGAGUUUGGGAGUUGGGGAAUGAGAAGUUGGGCCAUGGGAGAUCAGGUUUUCUUUCAAGGUAGAGAAGGCCUUGGCUAUAGGAAGGAGGUUUGGGUAACAGUUAGCGAGUCUUGAUGGUUUUUGAAC